ACGGCUCUGCUCCGCCAACCCUGUUCUGCCUGUUCGCCGAGGAAGCUGAGAUGCCCCCGACGUCCCGCGCCUCCGCCCGCUCGGCCAACCCCCACGAUAGCCUUUCCGCCUCGCCCGCCCGACAAACCGGAAGACUCAGACGCGCGCCGCCCAAGGCCAAUCGCCGCCGAAGACCAUCCGGAGCUCCGCCCCCUCUGCCCAAUGGCGGCGUCGGCCAAUGGCCGCCUCGCCCGAGCACUCGCCGCUCCCGGCCUUAUCCCUUCACCACCGGAGCCCCGCCUCGACCCUCCGCGCCACCCCGGCCCUAUAUAAUGGAACCCCCCUCACCGGCAAUGCCACCCCUUGCCACCGCCCGCACCUGCGCCGC
rnacentral:lncRNA from 1 species